CGCGCAGGCGGUCGAUUUAGUCGCGUGUGAAAGCCCCCGGCUCAACUGGGGAGGGUCACGCGAUACUGAUCGACUCGAAGGCAGGAGAGGGUAGUGGAAUUCCCGGUGUAGUGGUGAAAUGCGUAGAUAUCGGGAGGAACACCAGUGGCGAAGGCGACUACCUGGUCUGUUCUUGACGCUGAGGCGCGAAAGCUAGGGAGCAAACG
rnacentral:rRNA from 1 species